rnacentral:rRNA from 1 species
GCGAACGCUGGCGGCAGGCCUAACACAUGCAAGUCGAACGAACUCUUCGGAGUUAGUGGCGGCCGGGUGAGUAACACGUGGGAACGUGCCUUUUGGUUCGGAAUAACUCAGGGAAACUUGUGCUAAUACCGAAUGUGCCCUUCGGGGGAAAGAUUUAUCGCCAUUAGAGCGGCCCGCGUCUGAUUAGCUAGUUGGUGAGGUAACGGCUCACCAAGGCGACGAUCAGUAGCUGGUCUGAGAGGAUGACCAGCCACACUGGGACUGAGACACGGCCCAGACUCCUACGGGAGGCAGCAGUGGGGAAUCUUGCGCAAUGGGCGAAAGCCUGACGCAGCCAUGCCGCGUGAAUGAUGAAGGUCUUAGGAUUGUAAAAUUCUUUCACCGGGGACGAUAAUGACGGUACCCGGAGAAGAAGCCCCGGCUAACUUCGUG